rnacentral:rRNA from 1 species
ACGGAGGGUGCAAGCGUUAUCCGGAUUCACUGGGUUUAAAGGGUGCGUAGGCGGGCAGGUAAGUCAGUGGUGAAAUCUUUGGGCUUAACCCGAAAACUGCCAUUGAUACUAUCUGUCUUGAAUAUUGUGGAGGUCAGCGGAAUAUGUCAUGUAGCGGUGAAAUGCUUAGAUAUGACAUAGAACACCUAUUGCGAAGGCAGCUGGCUACGCAUAAAUUGACGCUGAGGCACGAAAGCGUGGGGAUCAAACAGGAUUAGAUACCCUGGUAGUCCACGCCCUAAACGAUGGAUACUCGACAUACGCGAUACACAGUGUGUGUCUGAGCGAAAGCAUUAAGUAUCCCACCUGGGAAGUACGACCGCAAGGUUG